UACGUAGGGUGCAAGCGUUGUCCGGAAUUAUUGGGCGUAAAGAGCUCGUAGGCGGUUUGUCGCGUCUGCUGUGAAAACUCGGGGCUUAACUCCGGGCCUGCAGUGGGUACGGGCAGACUAGAGUGCGGUAGGGGGAGACUGGAAUUCCUGGUGUAGCGGUGAAAUGCGCAGAUAUCAGGAGGAACACCGGUGGCGAAGGCGGGUCUCUGGGCAUUAACUGACGCUGAGGAGCGAAAGCAUGGGGAGCGAACAGG
rnacentral:rRNA from 1 species